rnacentral:rRNA from 1 species
GACGAACGCUGGCGGCGUGCCUAAUACAUGCAAGUGGAACGCUGAAGGAGGAGCUUGCUUCUCUGGAUGAGUUGCGAACGGGUGAGUAACGCGUAGGUAACCUGCCUGGUAGCGGGGGAUAACUAUUGGAAACGAUAGCUAAUACCGCAUAAGAGUAGAUGUUGCAUGACAUUUGCUUAAAAGGUGCAAUUGCAUCACUACCAGAUGGACCUGCGUUGUAUUAGCUAGUUGGUGAGGUAACGGCUCACCAAGGCAACGAUACAUAGCCGACCUGGGAGGGGGAUCGGCCACACUGGGACUGGGACACGGCCCAGACUCCUACGGGAGGCAGCAGUAGGGAAUCUUCGGCAAAGGACGGAAGUCUGACCGAGCAACGCCGCGUGAGUGAAGAAGGUUUUCGGAUCGGAAAGCUCUGUUGUAAGGGAAGAACGAGUGUGAGAGUGGAAAGUUCACACUGUGACGGUAUCUUACCAGAAAGGGACGGCUAACUACGUG